rnacentral:rRNA from 1 species
UACAGAGGGUGCGAGCGUUAAUCGGAAUUACUGGGCGUAAAGGGCGCGUAGGCGGUGAGAUGAGUGUGAUGUGAAAGCCCCGGGCUUAACCUGGGAAGCGCAUCGCAAACGAUCUGACUAGAGUAUAAGAGAGGGUGGCGGAAUUUCCGGUGUAGCGGUGAAAUGCGUAGAGAUCGGAAGGAACGUCAAUGGCGAAGGCAGCCACCUGGCUUAAUACUGACGCUGAGGCGCGAAAGCGUGGGGAGCGAACAGG